UCACAAGCCAUUAACGUACGAUAACUGACGUUGACCUCUGCGUCAGAUGCCUCGCAAAGAGUGCACUGCACGAAAGAUGCGUGAUUGUGUCGGAUUAAUUUAGCUAAUCAAUAAUUCAACUUGUGUUAUUUAUUAGUAGCUAACGUUUCAAUAGUCAGUCGAUAGAAAGCCGCUAACGUUUCAAUAGUCAGUCGAUAGAAAGCCGCUAACGUUUCAAUAGUCAGUCGAUGGAAAGUCACACGUUGGGCUUAUUUAGUCUCUGCUGCAAGAUAACGAAAAGGAAACAUAUGGGCACUGUCUGGCUCUCCAUUGGCUACAGCAGGGACUGCAGGACAGGACAGUGGCAGACAGAAGGCAGUCGACCAGGUUUCUCCACUUGUUUCUGAUGCCUCUGCUGCCACGUUUGCAGAAAAUGGUAGAUGCCAGCUAUGAGUCAAAUUAGUCCCUGCCUGUGGACUCGGCUCCCCCAGAGCAGCCGAUCCCCAUGUGACCGUUACAAGCAGGCCUGCUGCAGCUAUGAUGGAUAUGUGUAUAUCCUGGGAGGACGAGACAAUAACUGUUUGAGGGACUUCUGGAGGUACAGCGU